rnacentral:rRNA from 1 species
CCGGCGACCGGCGCACGGGUGAGUAGCACGUAUGCAACCUGCCCUCUUCAGGGGGACAACCUUCCGAAAGGGAGGCUAAUCCCGCGUAUAUCGGUUUCGGGCAUCCGAGAUCGAGGAAAGAUUCAUCGGAAGAGGAUGGGCAUGCGGCGCAUUAGCUAGACGGCGGGGUAACGGCCCACCGUGGCGACGAUGCGUAGGGGUUCUGAGAGGAAGGUCCCCCACACUGGUACUGAGACACGGACCAGACUCCUACGGGAGGCAGCAG